UUAAGCGACCAAGCGUACACGGUGGAUGCCCUGGCAGUCAGAGGCGAUGAAGGACGUGCUAAUCUGCGAUAAGCGCCGGUAAGGUGAUAUGAACCGUUAUAACCGGCGAUUUCCGAAUGGGGAAACCCAGUGUGACUCGUCACACUAUCAUUAACUGAAUCCAUAGGUUAAUGAGGCGAACCGGGGGAACUGAAACAUCUAAGUACCCCGAGGAAAAGAAAUCAACCGAGAUUCCCCCAGUAGCGGCGAGCGAACGGGGAGGAGCCCAGAGCCUGAAUCAGCAUGUGUGUUAGUGGAAGCGUCUGGAAAGGCGCGCGAUACAGGGUGACAGCCCCGUACACAAAAGCGCAUAUGCUGUGAGCUCGAUGAGUAGGGCGGGACACGUGGUAUCCUGUCUGAAUAUGGGGGGACCAUCCUCCAAGGCUAAAUACUCCUGACUGACCGAUAGUGAACCAGUACCGUGAGGGAAAGGCGAAAAGAACCCCGGCGAGGGGAGUGAAACAGAACCUGAAACCGUGUACGUACAAGCAGUGGGAGCACAGGUUUACCUGUGUGACUGCGUACCUUUUGUAUAAUGGGUCAGCGACUUAUAUUCUGUAGCAAGGUUAACCGCAUAGGGGAGCCGAAGGGAAACCGAGUCUUAAUUGGGCGUUAAGUUGCAGGGUAUAGACCCGAAACCCGGUGAUCUAGCCAUGGGCAGGUUGAAGGUUGGGUAACACUAACUGGAGGACCGAACCGACUAAUGUUGAAAAAUUAGCGGAUGACCUGUGGCUGGGGGUGAAAGGCCAAUCAAACCGGGAGAUAGCUGGUUCUCCCCGAAAGCUAUUUAGGUAGCGCCUCGUGAACUCAUCUCCGGGGGUAGAGCACUGUUUCGGCUAGGGGGCCAUCCCGGCUUACCAACCCGAUGCAAACUGCGAAUACCGGAGAAUGUUAUCACGGGAGACACACGGCGGGUGCUAACGUCCGUCGUGAAGAGGGAAACAACCCAGACCGCCAGCUAAGGUCCCAAAGUCAUGGUUAAGUGGGAAACGAUGUGGGAAGGCCCAGACAGCCAGGAUGUUGGCUUAGAAGCAGCCAUCAUUUAAAGAAAGCGUAAUAGCUCACUGGUCGAGUCGGCCUGCGCGGAAGAUGUAACGGGGCUAAACCAUGCACCGAAGCUGCGGCAGCGACGCUUAUGCGUUGUUGGGUAGGGGAGCGUUCUGUAAGCCUGCGAAGGUGGCCUGUGAGGGUUGCUGGAGGUAUCAGAAGUGCGAAUGCUGACAUAAGUAACGAUAAAGCGGGUGAAAAGCCCGCUCGCCGGAAGACCAAGGGUUCCUGUCCAACGUUAAUCGGGGCAGGGUGAGUCGACCCCUAAGGCGAGGCCGAAAGGCGUAGUCGAUGGGAAACGGGUUAAUAUUCCCGUACUUGGUGUUACUGCGAAGGGGGGACGGAGAAGGCUAUGUUGGCCGGGCGACGGUUGUCCCGGUUUAAGCAUGUAGGCGGAGGUUCCAGGUAAAUCCGGUACCUUAUUAACGCUGAGGUGUGAUGACGAGGCACUACGGUGCUGAAGUAACAAAUGCCCUGCUUCCAGGAAAAGCCUCUAAGCAUCAGGUAACAUCAAAUCGUACCCCAAACCGACACAGGUGGUCAGGUAGAGAAUACCAAGGCGCUUGAGAGAACUCGGGUGAAGGAACUAGGCAAAAUGGUGCCGUAACUUCGGGAGAAGGCACGCUGACACGUAGGUGAAGUGGUUUACCCAUGGAGCUGAAGUCAGUCGAAGAUACCAGCUGGCUGCAACUGUUUAUUAAAAACACAGCACUGUGCAAACACGAAAGUGGACGUAUACGGUGUGACGCCUGCCCGGUGCCGGAAGGUUAAUUGAUGGGGUCAGCGCAAGCGAAGCUCCUGAUCGAAGCCCCGGUAAACGGCGGCCGUAACUAUAACGGUCCUAAGGUAGCGAAAUUCCUUGUCGGGUAAGUUCCGACCUGCACGAAUGGCGUAAUGAUGGCCAGGCUGUCUCCACCCGAGACUCAGUGAAAUUGAACUCGCUGUGAAGAUGCAGUGUACCCGCGGCAAGACGGAAAGACCCCGUGAACCUUUACUAUAGCUUGACACUGAACAUUGAGCCUUGAUGUGUAGGAUAGGUGGGAGGCUUUGAAGCGUGGACGCCAGUCUGCGUGGAGCCAACCUUGAAAUACCACCCUUUAAUGUUUGAUGUUCUAACGUGGACCCGUAAUCCGGGUUGCGGACAGUGUCUGGUGGGUAGUUUGACUGGGGCGGUCUCCUCCUAAAGAGUAACGGAGGAGCACGAAGGUUGGCUAAUCCUGGUCGGACAUCAGGAGGUUAGUGCAAUGGCAUAAGCCAGCUUGACUGCGAGCGUGACGGCGCGAGCAGGUGCGAAAGCAGGUCAUAGUGAUCCGGUGGUUCUGAAUGGAAGGGCCAUCGCUCAACGGAUAAAAGGUACUCCGGGGAUAACAGGCUGAUACCGCCCAAGAGUUCAUAUCGACGGCGGUGUUUGGCACCUCGAUGUCGGCUCAUCACAUCCUGGGGCUGAAGUAGGUCCCAAGGGUAUGGCUGUUCGCCAUUUAAAGUGGUACGCGAGCUGGGUUUUAGAACGUCGUGAGACAGUUCGGUCCCUAUCUGCCGUGGGCGCUGGAGAAUUGAGGGGGGCUGCUCCUAGUACGAGAGGACCGGAGUGGACGCAUCACUGGUGUUCGGGUUGUCAUGCCAAUGGCACUGCCCGGUAGCUAAAUGCGGAAGAGAUAAGUGCUGAAAGCAUCUAAGCACGAAACUUGCCCCGAGAUGAGUUCUCCCUGAGACUUUGAGUCUCCUGAAGGAACGUUGAAGACGACGACGUUGAUAGGCCGGGUGUGUAAGCGCAGCGAUGCGUUGAGCUAACCGGUACUAAUGAACCGUGAGGCUUAACCUU
rnacentral:rRNA from 1 species